GCUUUUCCAUACUACUUAUCUGUGAAGUUUGCUAGUUGUGUUUACCAAAAUGUUAAAUAAAAUAUAACUUCAUUGCCUUAUCACUGUUUUUUUGCUUUUCUUCAAGGAAUGUAUACAGCUUUGAAUAAAAAAUGGCAAAAGAAAACAGGUUGUUACAGUGUAAAUCCGGAUUCCCCACAGCAUCAAAUUACCACAGAACAUUAUUUCGAUAUGAAUGAAUCAAAAUGUAAUUUGAUCUUCAAAGUAUAAAUGAUGCUGGCUGAUGACUAUGGUUUACGCAUUAACAGACAUUGGAAGAAAAUCAUGGAAAAGUUAGGAGAUAAAUGUCCUACAUUUGUACUGAAAUUUCUGUAGUGAAAAUAGACCCCUCUCAGGUAACUGCUGUUACUUUCACUACAACUUCUCUCCUCUGUUGAGCUGGACUUGUAGCAGGAAUCCACUGCAUUUGAGUAAAGCAGAAAGACCGGAGGUGGAUCAUUGCUCUUGCCCUUGAAAAUGGCUUCCAAAGCAAGCAAGGCAGUUGGCAGCAGCAAAAUUACUUGCUCUUCUGAACAUGCAGCUGGUUCCUUAUUCAGCCUCUCCAUAGUGCUAAAUGUUUCCCCUUAAAGAACGUAGUCACCAUCAGAGCGGGGCAUGGUUUGGAUUGUGAGUUGUGGCUUUAACUGUGGACAGCAAGAGAGCCUCUUCAGAUCCCUACUUACAAGCUCCCAUCAUGGAGUGCAUAUUACUCUUUAAACACAAAUUUAAAGAUGCCACACACUAGGUGGAAUGUUGUAGAUUCUUCAUAAAAACAUCCAUCCUGGGUCAGACCAAUGGUCCAUCUAGCCAGGUGCUUCAAAGGGAAUAAGCAGAACAGGGCAGUUAUCGAGUGACCCAUCAUCCCCUGUCAGCCAGUCCCAGCUUCUGGCAAUCAGAGUAAGGACACUCAGAGCAUGGGGUUGUAUCCCUGACCAUCCUCCAUGUACUUAUCUCAUUCCUUUUUUAACCCAGCUUUAGUUUUGGCUUUCAUGUGACCUUUCUUCAAAUUUUCUCUCCAUUUACAGAUUUUUUUUUUUAAGUGAUACUACAGAAAAAAGCCAACUUUUGUUACUGGCUCCACAAUGUGUAUUCUUACCACAAGCUUGCUAUCUAGUGUGUCUCCCCUAAGAGAAAAUUAAAAGUAAUGUGAAUUUACAUGUGGUUCCAAAGAUGCUCAGAAUACUCACUACUGAUUUUGCUAAAAAUUCUCUCAAUGCGAGAAUAAGAAAUCACGUUUGUUUCCUUGCAAUCCUCUAGCACUUUCUUAUAAGAAGUAAGCAGUAAGAUCAAAAGUGUACUCCUGAGAAGUUCUCCAGUGGUUUAGUGCCCACAUUAUUUUUAUAUGUUAGUUGUCGAAAACUGUAUUUGUAGAUCUUAAAAUAAACUUUUUUUAUAUUCAGGAAAUGUCUCACACUGCUGCUGAGAGGGGGUAUUUAUAAUCACUUUGUCAUUUAGCUUAUUAGAUUUAAAGAUUUAAAAUGUUAUUUACAUCCUUUUUUGUGACCACAAGCUGCUUUGAGUUUUAUUUAGCUGUAAGAAGAAAUCUUUUCCAUAAAUGAAGCAACUAUAAUUGAAGAUAUCUGUGUUAUUUAGGUCGUCUUAUUUGGAAUAGUCCUUUUUAUUAAAUAAAAGGGAUACUGAAUAAAGACUC